GGUGGGACGAGGCUGGAGGCAUCCAGGGAAAUUGCAGCCUAGCGUGAAUCACCCGGCACAUGACCCCAAAGAGAAGGGGUGGAUGCGGAACCCGCUCGGGAUACGGCUGGGGCUCGGGGAGGGCAGGCCUUGCGCCCGCCCCCACCAUCACCCUCCAGCCACGAUCUGGGAAUGGAGGGAAGCCCCUCUCCCGUCCGGCUCCACCCCGGCAGCCCCCGGCCCGCCCGGUUGCUGGGUGAGGCGGGACUCACGGCCUUCAGCUGCUCCAGCCGGUCCUUCAUCCUGGUGCCCAGGCGCCCGCAGGCAGCCAUUCACUGUGCUAGGAUCCGGCCCUCAACUGACUCAUUCCUUGCUAAGCGGCGACUACACCCCGAAAACAAGGAACUCUAAGACAAAGUGAUUAGGUGGGAGAGACAGCGACGAAUUCUGCCUGGAGGAAGGGCAUUCCAAGUAACGGAAUGUGCCCGGUCUCGGAGGUCUGCGUGUUGAAGCUGAAAGAGUGAAAAUGAUGGAGGCGAGGCUGGGACGAAGACUUCGGAUCUUAUGAUGUUGACAGUGGGGACCCAUAAGAGAAACAUAAGCAGUUCAAUGAUGAAAUCAGAACACCUGCCACUAACAAUGUGUAUACCUUUGGAAAGUUAUUGUUUCUCUAGGGGACCCCCAUUUCCAGAUCCAUAAAUCAGAGAUAUUACCCACUUCACAGUUUUCUGGGAGGUCUGUGUGACAGAGGAGGAAUGGCUGAUUUGUCACCUAUACAGCAGAGUUGUAGGAUAAAGAUGUUUCUAUUGUAAAGCUUAAGCUGUUACUUCCUACCUUGUGUAGAGUUCCCCAUGUGUGUAGCUCUUUCUGACAAGGUGGGCGUGUCCUUCGCACUGCCCCUCCCUCUUUAUGCUCUCUCCUCCCCCCCACCCCCAUCCCACCCUCUAUUCCCUCUUCCCUAUUUGUCUUCCUAAGAUAGACUUCUCAAAUCAAGC